rnacentral:rRNA from 1 species
GACGAACGCUGGCGGCGUGCUUAGCACAUGCAAGUCGAACGGAAAGGCCCUGCUUUUGUGGGGUGCUCGAGUGGCGAACGGGUGAGUAACACGAGAGUAACCUGCCCUUGACUUUGGGAUAACUUCAGGAAACUGGGGCUAAUACCGGAUAGGAGCUCCUGCUGCAUGGUGGGGGUUGGAAAGUUUCGGCGGUUGGGGAUGGACUCGCGGCUUAUCAGCUUGUUGGUGGGGUAGUGGCUUACCAAGGCUUUGACGGGUAGCCGGCCUGAGAGGGUGACCGGCCACAUUGGGACUGAGAUACGGCCCAGACUCCUACGGGAGGCAGCAGUGGGGAAUAUUGCACAAUGGGCGGAAGCCUGAUGCAGCAACGCCGCGUGCGGGAUGACGGCCUUCGGGUUGUAAACCGCUUUCGCCUGUGACGAAGCGUGAGUGACGGUAAUGGGUAAAGAAGCACCGGCUAACUACGUG